GACUCAUUCUCUCCAGCUCCGAAGGCUUACCUGCCUACUUCCUUGCUUACAUCACUUCAAGGCUACAUACUUGGGUCCCUAAGUUGGGCAGAACACACAGACUUCUCCUAGGCACCUCGCACGCACAUAUGAGAAGUCUGUUGGAAAUAGUAGUGGAAAGAACACAAGUUUUGGAGGCAGAGUUAGGUUCAGAUUCUGUCUCUACCACUUUCUAGCUCUGUGCCAUGAGGCAAAUCUUUUAACUUUUCUGAGGCUCUAUUUCUUUAUCUGUAAAAUGGGGAUAAUAAUAAUAGUGGCUCAAACACACUGAAUUGUUUGUCAGGAGGUAGGAACGGGGCUAUGUGUGUUUAUGUUAUCUCAUUUUUUUUUUUUUUCAUCCUGUGCCGUUUCUCAUACUGUACAGGUUGGGCCUGAGCCUUUAUAAGGAGAAAUAAAUGAGCUAAGGUCUGGCAGACAGUAAAUGCUGGAGCUGGAACGCAAACCCAGGUGAGAGGCUGGAUGUGAUGACAUCCAAGUCCUUGGAGAACCUAAGCUUUCACAUCCAUGGAAAUGAAGAAUGGACAGUUAAGAUUAGAGUAUAAAUUUCAAAACCAUAAAGACUCGAAGACAGUGAAAACCUGAUAUUGGCUUACAUUUGGCCUGCUGACCAAAAUAAAGCUAGUUGGACCCUUGUUGUUUUGGUUCACUGAUUGGUCAGAGGUUCCUGACAGCGCCAAUGGAAGAAACGAGGAUCCCUAGGACUUACACUGGUGGAUUGCAACAAAUAAGCGGACUCUUCAGAAAACGGAUGAGCCACCUAUCUGCUAACCUGUUUGAACAGGAAAUGGAAAGAAAAAACUGAGGUCUUUGACUGGAACCUUUGGCCAACUCUGUGACAAAUGAGAAGCCCUACACUUGUCAGAGGUACCUCAGUUUGCGGAGAGGAUCUAAGGCUACCAUUUGAAUGUUUGUGACUUGAUCUUUCCGAAGGAAUCCCCUAAGAAAUCAACUUCAUUACCAUCAUCAUUCCUAGGGGUGGUUUACCAGAGAUUAGUAGCUUUGGUUUGAUUCUGGCAUUAAAAUGAGUAUUUCCUCUAA